GGCAGGAUAACAGAGUGGGUAAAUGUACGGUUUGGAAAUCAAGCUUCCUGGGUUCAAAUCCCAGUUCUAGCA
rnacentral:tRNA from 1 species